rnacentral:rRNA from 1 species
CAGCAGCCGCGGUAAUACGAAGGGUGCAAGCGUUACUCGGAAUUACUGGGCGUAAAGCGUGCGUAGGUGGUGGUUUAAGUCCGUUGUGAAAGCCCUGGGCUCAACCUGGGAAUUGCAGUGGAUACUGGGUCACUAGAGUGUGGUAGAGGAUAGUGGAAUUUCCGGUGUAGCAGUGAAAUGCGUAGAGAUCGGAAGGAACAUCUGUGGCGAAGGCGACUAUCUGGGCCAACACUGACACUGAGGCACGAAAGCGUGGGGAGCAAACAGGAUCAGAUACCCCGGUAGUCCCUGUCUCUUAUAA